CGUCCUAAGGACCUCACUGCCACCGUCCAAGCUCGCUUGGCCCCGGCAGAUGAACCUUAGGAUUAAAGGGUGGGCUCAGUUCCGCGCACACUGUGUCUCACCUAAAAAAUCCAAUGCGCAGGCUGGAAGGUGUAGAGACCUUCCCCGGAUCUUCGCUCGCGAAGACUGGCCAUUAUAAAAAGCUGCUGAAAGUGAAUUCUGUCUUUCCUGUCCCUUUUGGUACUGGCAGGAAGCCACAGCCUGGUUGUGGCUCUACAGACAAAUAGUAUGGAAGCCACUGUUACUCAUGUAGGACGUCUCAAUCUUCGGAGACUUUACAGAAUUCUGCAGGAGCAGCUUCAAAGGAACCCUCUCACACAAUAACCUGCCUGCUAACAAAAGCUAUUGUCUGUCUUUUCAAGUUAUUUUUUUUCUUUUAAAUGUGAUGGAUGACGUUCGUAAAUGUUGAGAAAGGUGUGAUGUUUCUUUUAAGACCUGAUGCAAAACUAAGUUAGGACAGUGGUCUGGGAAAUUUCUUCCUGUAUGAUGAACAUGUGGAGAAGAGUUGGCUGCAGAAGGAAAUACUUACUCUGAAUUCAGAGUAUUCUUUUCAAAAAUAUAACUAAUGUGCUGACAAAUUUAAACCCUUCUGAAACAGUAACAAAAAUUCUCAGAUGUAAUUCAUUUAAUAGCUUAAUUUAUUAAACACAUUAUGUAAAAUCUA